rnacentral:rRNA from 1 species
UUCGGUCAAGUUGAACGGAUGACUUAGUGGCGGACGGGUGAGUAACGCGUGAGGAACCUGCCUUUCAGUGGGGGACAACAGUUGGAAACGACUGCUAAUACCGCAUAAUGUAUUCUGACCGCAUGAUCGGAAUACCAAAGAUUUAUUGCUGAAAGAUGGCCUCGCGUCUGAUUAGAUAGUUGGUGAGGUAAUGGCCCACCAAGCCGACGAUCGGUAGCCGACCUGAGAGGGUGAUCGGCCACAUUGGGACUGAGACACGGCCCAAACUCC